rnacentral:rRNA from 1 species
UUCGAGUGGCGGACGGGUGAGUAACGCGUGGGUAACCUGCCUUACACAGGGGGAUAACACCUGGAAACAGGUGCUAAUACCGCAUAAGCGCACAGGGCCGCAUGGCCCGGUGUGAAAAACUCCGGUGGUGUAAGAUGGACCCGCGUCUGAUUAGCUUGUUGGCGGGGGUAGAGGCCCACCAAGGCGACGAUCAGUAGCCGGCCUGAGAGGGUGGACGGCCACAUUGGGACUGAGACACGGCCCAAACUCCUACGGGAGGCAGCAG